rnacentral:rRNA from 1 species
AUUGAACGCUGGCGGCAGGCCUAACACAUGCAAGUCGAGCGGUAACACAGAGGAGCUUGCUCCUUGGGUGACGAGCGGCGGACGGGUGAGUAAUGCCUGGGGAUCUGCCCGAUAGAGGGGGAUAACUACGGGAAACUGUAGCUAAUACCGCAUAAUGUCUACGGACCAAAGUGGGGGAUCUUCGGACCUCAUGCUAUCGGAUGAACCCAGGUGGGAUUAGCUAGUUGGUGAGGUAAUGGCUCACCAAGGCGACGAUCUCUAACUGGUUUGAGAGAAUGACCAGUCACACUGGAACUGAGACACGGUCCAGACUCCUACGGGAGGCAGCAGUGGGGAAUAUUGCACAAUGGGCGCAAGCCUGAUGCAGCCAUGCCGCGUGUGUGAAGAAGGCCUUCGGGUUGUAAAGCACUUUCAGCGGGGAGGAAGGGUCACUAGUUAAUACCUAGUGGCAUUGACGUUACUCGCAGAAGAAGCACCGGCUAACUCCGUGCCAGCAGCCGCGGUAAUACGGAGGGUGCAAGCGUUAAUCGGAAUUACUGNGCGUAAAGCGCACGCAGGCGGUUUGUUAAGUCAGAUGUGAAAUCCCCGAGCUCAACUUGGGAACUGCAUUUGAAACUGGCAAGCUAGAGUCUUGNAGAGGGGGGUAGAAUUCC